CUCUCGAUGUGAAAGUUUUUUCGGCUAGGGAUGAGACCGCGCUAUCAGCUUGUUGGUGGAGUAAUGGCCCACCAAGGCGACGACGGGUAGCCGGCUGAGAGGGCGACCGGCCACACUGGGACUGAGACACGGCCCAGACUCCUACGGGAGGCAGCAGUGGGGAAUAUUGCGCAAUGGGCGAAAGCCUGACGCAGCGACGCCGCGUGAGGGAUGACGGCCUUCGGGUUGUAAACCUCUUUCAGCAGGGAAGAAGCGAAAGUGACGGUACCUGCAGAAGAAGCACCGGCUAACUACGUGCCAGCAGCCGCGGUAAUNNNNNNNNUGCAAGCGUUGUCCGGAUUUAUUGGGCGUAAAGAGCUCGUAGGCGGUUUGUCGCGUCUGGUGUGAAAACUCAGGGCUUAACCCUGAGCUUGCAUCGGGUACGGGCAGACUAGAGUGCGGUAGGGGAGACUGGAAUUCCUGGUGUAGCGGUGAAAUGCGCAGAUAUCAGGAGGAACACCGGUGGCGAAGGCGGGUCUCUGGGCCGUAACUCACGCCCAGGAGCGAAAGCAUGGGGAGCGAACAGGAUUAGAUACCCUGGUAGUCCAUGCCGUAAACGUUGGGCGCUAGGUGUGGGGCUCAUUCCACGAGUUCCGUGCCGCAGCUAACGCAUUAAGCGCCCCGCCUGGGGAGUACGGCCGCAAGGCUAAAACUCAAACGAAUUGACGG
rnacentral:rRNA from 1 species